GUGGAAUGCAUUCAAAUAAGAUUGCAAUUUGAAAUUCCAGCCUCCACUCGGUAGGAAUCCUUUGAGCGAAUUGGUUAAUCUAAAGCAGAUAGGAACGAUGGAAGAAUACCAAUAUCAGUUCCAAAGCCCUCAGAGCCCAUGCAACAACAGUGAUUUGUUUACCGCAAGCUUGACAAAUUCAAUAUGGAUUGAUUUAAAGAUGCAAAAUCUCCAAAGUUUGGUGGCAGCUACGAACCUGACAAGAACCUUUGAAAGAAAACAGCAACUGGGACGAGACUUAUGGCGAGAAAUUUGGACAAAUUCAUGGUCUAAUAC
rnacentral:misc_RNA from 1 species